rnacentral:rRNA from 1 species
GAUGAACGCUGGCGGCGUGCUUAACACAUGCAAGUCGAACGAUGAAGCCCAGCUUGCUGGGUGGAUUAGUGGCGAACGGGUGAGUAACACGUGAGUAACCUGCCCUUAACUCUGGGAUAAGCCUGGGAAACUGGGUCUAAUACCGGAUAGGAGCGUCCACCGCAUGGUGGGUGUUGGAAAGAUUUAUCGGUUUUGGAUGGGCUCGCGGCCUAUCAGCUUGUUGGUGAGGUAAUGGCUCACCAAGGCGACGACGGGUAGCCGGCCUGAGAGGGUGACCGGCCACACUGGGACUGAGACACGGCCCAGACUCCUACGGGAGGCAGCAGUGGGGAAUAUUGCACAAUGGGCGCAAGCCUGAUGCAGCGACGCCGCGUGAGGGAUGACGGCCUUCGGGUUGUAAACCUCUUUCAGUAGGGAAGAAGCGAAAGUGACGGUACCUGCAGAAGAAGCACCGGCUAACUACGUG